rnacentral:rRNA from 1 species
CUCAUAAGUUAGACGAAAAGAGGAACCAAUUUUAGUUGAUCUAAGGUUGGUGGCACAGAAUCGGGGGCCCCGACUGUUUACUAAAAACACAAAUAUCUGCUAUGAUGAAAUAUACACGUAUAGGUAUUGAAAUUUGCUCGAUGCCUAGAGAAUAAGAGGAUUAAUUUUUUAAGUUAGGACUCAAAACUCUGGUGAAUGGCGGUCUUAACCUUGAGGAUCCUAAGGUAGCGUAAUCCGUUGGCCAUUAAAUGUGGUCUUGUAUCAAUAAUCCAACGAUGGUCCCACUGUCUCUACAACUUGCUCAGUGAAAUUGAAUUGUGAGUGAAGAUGCUCACUACCUCCGGGUGGACGGGAAGACCCUAU